UAAUAAAUGUUUUAUGGCACUUUUUAAAUCCAUAUCCACCUUGUGUGCAAUGUCAGUCGAUCUUCUUCAUGGAGAUCGACCAAACAUCAACCUUUAUCUUUUAACUCUUUGUCUGAAAAAUAUUAUGAAUAAACAAUUCAAAAUA
rnacentral:misc_RNA from 1 species